rnacentral:rRNA from 1 species
AUGGCCAUGGACGGCGCGGGGCGCUUGGAGUUGCCCACGGACGUUCUGGUCGAGAUCCUCCUGCGGCUGCCGCCGAGCUCCCGCCGCCGGGUCCGCCUCGUCUGCAGGCUCUGGUGCAGCAUCAUCGACGAGCACACCACGGAGAUGCAGAGCCGCGCCACGGCCCUCCUCUGGCAUACCUGGUAUGGCAUCGCCUACGUCGUCGACGACCUGUCCAAGUCUUCGACGGGGCGCUACACACAGCUGUGGCCUCGGGACACAGCGGGACCGUACUUCCUCGACCGCGGUAGCCUGCAGCUGAUCGGCACGUGCAAUGGUCUUCUCUGCCUGUGCGACAACGAGGAGGCACCCGGCGGCGCCGUCACCCUGGUCAACCCGGCCACCGACGAGGAGCUGCCCGUCCCGCCGCUGCCUUGCGCAUGCCCGUUUGUCCCGUCUUUGGAGAGAUGCACCUACUGGGAGAACUGGCACAAGGCGUACCACCCUACGUCCGGGCAGUACAAGGUGGUGCACAUCCCAUGUAGCAUCAGCGAGGAAUACAAGUUCGACGCCUGCACGUGCUCACGCUAG